rnacentral:rRNA from 1 species
GACAGAGGGUGCAAACGUUGUUCGGAAUUACUGGGCGUAAAGCGCGUGUAGGCGGCUCGGAAAGUCGGGUGUGAAAGCCCUGGGCUCAACCUAGGAAGUGCACUCGAAACUUCCGAGCUGGAGUUCUGGAGAGGAAGGCGGAAUUCUCGGUGUAGAGGUGAAAUUCGUAGAUAUCGAGAGGAACACCGGUGGCGAAGGCGGCCUUCUGGACAGCAACUGACGCUGAGACGCGAAAGCGUGGGGAGCAAAC